AGAGUUUGAUCAUGGCUCAGAAUGAACGUUGGCGGCGUGGAUUAGGCAUGCAAGUCGAGCGCUCAUAGCAAUAUGGGAGCGGCGAACGGCGUAGUAAUUCAUAGGAACGUACCCUCAGGUCGGGGAUAGCCACGGGAAACUGUGGGUAAUACCCGAUGAUCUCUGCGGAGCAAAGGUGUGAUUCCGCCUGAGGAGCGGCUUAUGCGAUAUUAGCUAGUUGGUGGGGUAAUGGCCUACCAAGGCGACGAUGUCUAGGGGGUGUGAGAGCAUGGCCCCCACGACCGGAACUGAGAUACUGUCCGGACACCUACGGGUGGCUGCAGUCGAGAAUCUUCCGCAAUGGACGAAAGUCUGACGGAGCGACGCCGCGUGCGGGAUGAAGGCCCUUGGGUUGUAAACCGCUGUCAGAGGGGAUGAAAUCUUCGGAGGUACUCCUCCGAAGUUGACAGAGCCUCAAAGGAAGCACGGGCUAAGUACGUGCCAGCAGCCGCGGUAACACGUACUGUGCGAACGUUAUUCGGAAUCACUGGGCUUAAAGGGUGCGUAGGCGGCAAUUCAAGUCAGGUGUGAAAUGCCUGAGCUCAACUGAGGCAUUGCGCUUGAAACUGAAUCGCUAGAGUAUCCCAGGGGUGUGCGGAACUGCCAGUGGAGCGGUGAAAUGUGUUGAUAUUGGCAGGAACACCGGAGGCGAAGGC
rnacentral:rRNA from 1 species